ACCUCCAGCAUUUCUAGUAUUGGAGGCACUGCCUGCCCAGUGACGCUUGUUUAACGGCCGCGGUAUCCUGACCGUGCAAAGGUAGCAUAAUCAUUUGUUCUCUAAAUAGGGACUUGUAUGAAUGGCUACACGAGGGUUUAACUGUCUCUUACUCCCAAUCAGUGAAAUUGACCUUCCCGUGAAGAGGCGGGAAUACUAUAAUAAGACGAGAAGACCCUAUGGAGCUUUAAUUAACUAACCCAAGCUCAUGGACAUAACUCACCUAUAAGGCAUAGCAUGAUACCAUUACUGUGGGUUGGCAAUUUAGGUUGGGGUGACCUCGGAAUAUAAAAAAACUCCCGAGUGAUUAAAAUUUAGACCUACCAGUCAAAAUGCAACAUCACUUAUUGAUCCAAUAAUUUUUGAUCAACGGAACAAGUUACCCUAGGGAUAACAGCGCAAUCCUAUUCAAGAGUCCAUAUCGACAAUAGGGUUUACGACCUCGAUGUUGGAUCAGGACAUCCUAAUGGUGCAGCAGCUAUUAAG
rnacentral:rRNA from 1 species